rnacentral:rRNA from 1 species
GAUGAACGCUAGCGACAGGCUUAACACAUGCAAGUCGAGGGGCAGCGGGGAGCAAGCUUGCUUGCUCUGCCGGCGACCGGCGCACGGGUGAGUAACACGUAUGCAACCUGCCCUCCGCAGGGGGAUAACCCGGAGAAAUCCGGACUAAUACCGCGUGGUACACCUGUGGGGCAUCCCACGGGUGUUAAAAGGAAGUGAUUCCGGCGGAGGAUGGGCAUGCGGCGCAGUAGCUGGUUGGCGGGGUAACGGCCCACCAAGGCGACGAUGCGUAGGGGUUCUGAGAGGAAGGUCCCCCACACUGGUACUGAGACACGGACCAG